UACGUAGGGGGCAAGCGUUGUCCGGAUUUAUUGGGCGUAAAGAGCGUGUAGGCGGCCAGACAGGUCCGUUGUGAAAACUCGAGGCUCAACCUCGAGACGCCGAUGGAAACCGUCUGGCUAGAGUCCGGAAGAGGAGAGUGGAAUUCCUGGUGUAGCGGUGAAAUGCGCAGAUAUCGGGAGGAACACCGGUGGCGAAGGCGGUUCUCUGGGCCUUACCUGACGCUGAGAAGCGAAAGCGUGGGGAGCGAACAGG
rnacentral:rRNA from 1 species